rnacentral:rRNA from 1 species
CACGUAGGCGGAUCUUUAAGUCAGGGGUGAAAUCCCAGAGCUCAACUCUGGAACUGCCUUUGAUACUGGGGAUCUUGAGUCCGGAAGAGGUAAGUGGAACUGCGAGUGUAGAGGUGAAAUUCGUAGAUAUUCGCAAGAACACCAAUGGCGAAGGCGGCUUACUGGUCCGGAACUGACGCUGAGGUGCGAAAGCGUGGGGAAGCAAACA